CAACGCUCCGCUCCAUUAGUAGAGAGAAUGAUUAUCACAAACACUUCAAUGAAGAAUCAUUAAAUACCCUUCACCAACAAGCGUUGAAAAAAUUCACCAACCCUAUUUAUGAACCCCAAACUCUGUUCUGUCUGCUCUAUAGCCUCUUGCUAUGCUUUUCUCAUAUAGCUUUGUUCUGUCUGUCUGUGUUACUGUUAGGCCUUAGGAGUAGAUUUUCCUUUUCAUUUUAUGUUUUUCAAAUGGAUAUAUAGCUCAAGUGCUUCUUGACCUCUGUUAUUUCCUUUUGUUUUUGUUCGCUUUCACUGGCCUUCAUAGCCAGACAAGAUAUGCUCACAUUCCCUCUUAAAACUGCAAAACUUUCAUCAGUCCUCAAAUACCCAGUUCUUAUAUCUAUACUAGUUUCUUCUUUUUGGGCUUUCAGAUUCUAGUUGUGGUUUUUCCCGAGCAAUACAAAAGCACCUCAUGUUUGUUGUUGUGGCACUCUACUUGUCUGGGAGAGCCCUUAAGCCCAAAAUCAUUCUGCAUGCUAGUUUCAAUGGAGCUGCAGAGGCUUAAAGUAUUGUCUGAGAUGUACCCAGACGCAUGUACGAUAUAGAGGUGGUUGUGUUUUAAAUCAUUGGGGAGAGGGUUUUGCGGUGGGUUUGGUUUCCUGGUUCAAUUUUGCUUCUCUAUUCUCUGUGGGUUUCGGGCUUUGAUUCCAAAUGGAUUUUGGUUUCUUUGGUUCUAUCUUGGUUCUUUCAAUGUUCUUCAAGCCUUUAACUUGUCAACAGCCCAAUACAGAUGCUUUCUUUGUCUCUGAGUUUUUGAAGAAGAUGAACUUCACCUCUUCACCACUCUACAAUUUCUCUGCUCCUGUUUGUUUGUGGGAAGGAGUGUUCUGUGAUGCCAAAGAAAAUGUUUUGCGGUUAGUAGCUUCUGGUUAUGGUCUCUCUGGUUCCAUUCCUGAUACCACCAUUGGCAAGCUAA
rnacentral:misc_RNA from 1 species